GACUCUUGCUUCAAGGUUUCUCAUCAGACAGUGCCAGGUGGGGAGUUUAACUGGGGUGGUACAACUGUCAAACAGUAAUGCAAGUGUCCUAAGGUAAGCUCAGGGAGGACAGAAACCUCCCAUGGAGCAGAAGGGCAAAAGCUCACUUGAUCUUGAUUUUCAGUAUAAAUAUAGACCGUGAAAAUGGCUUGCUGCUGGUACAGCCCAAAACCCCAAAAUGCCAGUUUCUCUGCAAGCUUUGUUAGAA
rnacentral:ncRNA from 1 species